rnacentral:rRNA from 1 species
UAUAUUUAACAUAUUGUUUAUAUAUUAUAUAAUAUACUAGCGGUAUUUAAUCUAAUAGCUUAUUAAAGUUAUACCUUUUGCAUAAUGGAUUAACUAUAAGGUAACAAAAUAGUUUUACACGAAUUAGUUUGAGCUAAAUACGAUAUAAUAUUAGCUGUUAAAAUUGGUGUUGCAUAACCUUUCAUAAAAGUCAUAUUUAGGAGUGAUAGGCCUCUCAAAAACUAAGAUAUCUUGAUUCUAAUUAAACGUAUUUAGUACAAUUAAUACAUUUAUUGAGUGCUUAGGCUUAAUAAAAAUAUUAAUUUAUAGUAUUUCUUAUAUUAAGGUUUAAUAACUAAAUAUACAUAUUAUAAUAACAUUAAACUGUUUUAAAUUUAUAUUUAGUAAUUAGUAAUAGUUAAGUUUAAAUUUCUUUUGAUAAUGUUUAUAUUAGUAUAAACGACAUACUUCUAUAAUGAACUCGGCAAAAUAUUCUCUUCUCAACUGUUUAUCAAAAACAUAACUGUGUGUACUAAUACAUAGCAUUUUCUGCUCAAUGNUUAUAUUAAAUAGCCGCAGUAUUUUGACUGUGCAAAGGUAGCAUAAUCAAUUGACUUAUAAUUGAAGUCUGGAAUGAAUGAAAGUAUGGGGAGUCUCUGUAUCAUUUAGGUAAAUUUGAAUUACUUAGGUAGUGAAAAUUCUACUGUAAAAAUAAUAGACGAGAAGACCCUAGAAAAUUUAAGUAAUCUAUAUUAUAGUAUAUCAAUUUUUGUUGGCGACAUAGUAGCAUAAAACCUACUUAAUGAAAACCAGCACCAUGUUUUGUGUGUGAAAAAUUUACUCUAGGGAUAACAGCAUNAUAUUUAAAAGUUUGUGACCUCGAUGUUGGACUAGGAAAUAAUAGCCUAAAAGGUUUUUUAUAUUGCUCUGUUCGAGCAUAAAACUCCUACAUGAUCUGAGUUCAGACCGGCGUGAGCCAGGUCAGUUUCUAUCUUUAAAUUUUCUUAUAAUAGUACGAAAGGAAUUUAUUGGUUGCAAUGCAUGC